rnacentral:rRNA from 1 species
CCUACGGGAGGCUGCAGUGGGGAAUAUUGGACAAUGGGCGAAAGCCUGAUCCAGCCAUGCCGCGUGUGUGAAGAAGGCCUUCGGGUUGUAAAGCACUUUCAGUGGGGAAGAAAGCCUUGGGGCUAAUACCCUCGAGGAAGGACAUCACCCACAGAAGAAGCACCGGCUAACUCCGUGCCAGCAGCCGCGGUAAUACGGAGGGUGCGAGCGUUAAUCGGAAUUACUGGGCGUAAAGCGCGCGUAGGCGGUCUGAUAAGCCGGUUGUGAAAGCCCCGGGCUCAACCUGGGAACGGCAUCCGGAACUGUGAGGCUAGAGUGCAGGAGAGGAAGGUAGAAUUCCCGGUGUAGCGGUGAAAUGCGUAGAGAUCGGGAGGAAUACCAGUGGCGAAGGCGGCCUUCUGGACUGACACUGACGCUGAGGUGCGAAAGCGUGGGUAGCAAACAGGAUUAGAUACCCCUGUAGUC